AUACCUUUCUCGGCCUUUUGGCUAAGAUCAAGUGUAGUAUCUGUUCUUAUCAGUUUAAUAUCUGAUACGUGGACUAAUGGUUCACACGAUAUUAAAUUAAUUUUUUUAGGGAGGGAGUCUGCUACGUUAGCUUGCUAAUGGGACUCUUGAGUGUCGCCCAAGCGUUGCACUAUUGCUCGGGCUGGCGCAUCCCAC